rnacentral:rRNA from 1 species
CCUACGGGCGGCAGCAGUGAGGAAUAUUGGUCAAUGGGCGGAAGCCUGAACCAGCCAAGUCGCGUGCAGGAUGACGGCCCUACGGGUUGUAAACUGCUUUUAUACGGGAACAACGCGCCUUACGUGUAGGGCUUUGCAUGUACCGGGUGAAUAAGGACCGGCUAAUUCCGUGCCAGCAGCCGCGGUAAUACGGAAGGUCCGGGCGUUAUCCGGAUUUAUUGGGUUUAAAGGGGGCGUAGGCCGGAUGUCAAGCGUGCUGUGAAAUGUCCGGGCUCAACCCGGGCCGUGCGGCGCGAACUGGCGGGCUUGAGUGCGCGGAAGGCAGGCGGAAUUCGUGGUGUAGCGGUGAAAUGCUUAGAUAUGACGAAGAACCCCGAUUGCGAAGGCAGCUUGCUGCAGCGGAACUGACGCUGAUGCUCGAAAGCGCGGGUAUCGAACAGGAUUAGAUACCCGAGUAGUC